AUGGACGUAAACACUCCAGCUCUGUUAGUAUUCGACGCAGUAUCCGCCGGAGGAAGCAGGGGAAGACAAAGACCUCCAUUUCGUUGAAAGGACCAAGUGGAGAAGGACCUGGCUACGCUUGGAAUAUCCAAUUGGCACCAUGUAGCGAAAAGCAGUGUCUAGCAAAAUACAGUUGGAUGGCUCAUGAGAUCUAUUGCGGUGGAAGGUCCGGCAUUUGAAGGCGGAAUACAUAAGGCCAAUGACUGGGUCGCGUCAACUGGUGCAGGACUUCAGAGAAGACUGAUGGUAGGACCAUCGAAGCUAAAAUGUGUCCCAAGUACAACUAACUGGGACAUGCAACCGUUACUGGUUACUGGAAGUAAAAUUUUUACAAAACAAAAAUGCAUAUGCUGUGUCAUCAAAUGCCGCACCUCGUCCUAUCAAUAUUAUUCCAACGAUCAAUUCGGUCACCGAAAUAUUUCAUUGGACAAUUUUCGGCUAUACAAGCGGAGAAAAUUGCCAUGGAAGCGAAGAAACUUGAAUUUUAAAAAUGUAAAUUUGAAGAAGAGAAGAAAAUUAAA